rnacentral:rRNA from 1 species
GACGCCAGAGAGGGUGAGAGCCCCGUACGGUUGGACACCGAGCCUCUAUAUAGCUCCUUCGACGAGUCGAGUAGUUUGGGAAUGCUGCUCUAAAUGGGAGGUAAAUUUCUUCUAAAGCUAAAUACCGGCCAGAGACCGAUAGCGCACAAGUAGAGUGAUCGAAAGAUGAAAAGUACUUUGAAAAGAGGGUUAAAUAGCACGUGAAAUUGUUGAAAGGGAAGCGUUUGCGACCAGACUUUUUCCAGGCGGAUCAUCCGGUGUUCUCACCGGUGCACUUCGCCUGGUUUAGGCCAGCAUCGGUUCUCUUAGGGGGAUAAAGGCCUGGGGAACGUAGCUCCUUCGGGAGUGUUAUAGCCCCUAGCGUAAUACCCUUCGGGGGACCGAGGAACGCG